GGAGAAGCAAGCCAGCAGGUGCUGUGUGUGCAGAGAAGCACAGGGGAAGGAGGUGGAACAGCACCAGUAGGCAUUGGCUGUCUUGCAGACAGUAGCACAGAAAGACAGAGAGUGAGAAGAUCUUAUUCUGUGGGCCUCUGUAAGGUCUCUCGCGCAUGCGCAGUUGCGCUGAAGGGAUGCCACACGCACUAGCAGGAUCAGUACCAGUUGCAUCACAACUUCCAUCACCCAUCAUGCAAUUUGGUACAUCUCUGUCUUGACUGAUAUGGCUGAAAGAUUUAUCAAAGAUGGAGGACAGUGCUUUGUUAAUUAGAAUCUUAUGUUUCCCCUUUAAAAUACAGGCCACUCCCAUGAAACGCCCAAGAAACUGCCUCAGAAGACCUAUAUAUUCGUUAUGUCUGUGAUUUCUAUUGUUAAUAAAGAACAAAAAAAUAAAAAACACCUUACUGUUAAACUUA